rnacentral:snRNA from 1 species
AUACUCACCUGGCAGAGGAGACACCAUGAUCAUGAAGGUGAUUUUCCCAGGAUGAGGCUCAUUCAUUGCACUCUGGGUGUGUCGACCCCAGUGAUUUCCCCAAAUGCAGGAAAUUUGACUGCAUAAUUUGUGGCACUGGGGGAUCCGUUCGCGCUUUCCCCUG